UUUUCUGAGGAGAAGUACGUGGUAGGAUCUCGAGUCUACAUUCCAACAUGACUGCCUGUGGCACAUGAAGAUGAUGAAGGCUCAUUGCUGAUUUACUUUCCGCUGUGUUUAUUCUGAGCUAGUCCAUGUGACUAUGCAAUUUGUAAGGUUUUACUUUACCCUCUGGAUCAACGAUGUAGUAAUUGAUACUAUUGCAAUGAUUACUAUAUUUUGUAAUGUGUGUGCUAUCAGUGAUCCCGGGAAUAGCACUA